rnacentral:rRNA from 1 species
GUGGGGAAUCUUGCGCAAUGGGCGAAAGCCUGACGCAGCCAUGCCGCGUGAAUGAUGAAGGUCUUAGGAUUGUAAAAUUCUUUCACCGGGGACGAUAAUGACGGUACCCGGAGAAGAAGCCCCGGCUAACUUCGUGCCAGCAGCCGCGGUAAUACGAAGGGGGCUAGCGUUGCUCGGAAUUACUGGGCGUAAAGGGCGCGUAGGCGGACAGUUUAGUCAGAGGUGAAAGCCCAGGGCUCAACCUUGGAAUUGCCUUUGAUACUGGCUGUCUUGAGUACGGGAGAGGUGAGUGGAACUCCGAGUGUAGAGGUGAAAUUCGUAGAUAUUCGGAAGAACACCAGUAGCGAAGGCGACUCACUGGCCCGUUACUGACGCUGAGGCGCGAAAGCGUGGGGAGCAAACAGGAUUAGAAACCCGAGUAGUCC